GACGAACGCUGGCGGCGUGCUUAACACAUGCAAGUCGAGCGGAGCGGCGAACGGGUGAGUACCGCGUGAGUAACUGCCCCCCUCUCUGGGAUAACAGUUGGGAACGGCUGCUAAUACCGGAUAGUGGGGGAUGACUCGCGUCCUAUCAGCUUGUUGGUGGGGUAGUGGCCUACCAAGGCGACGACGGGUAGCCGGCCUGAGGGGGCGACCGGCCACAGUGGGCUGAGAUACGGGCCAAACUCCAACGGGAGGCAGCAGGGGGGAAUAUUGCACAAUGGGGGAAACCCUGAUGCAGCAACGCCGCGUGCGGGAGGACGGCCUUCGGGGUGUAAACCGCGUUCAGCCAGGACGCGGUAGUGGAAGAAGAAGCACCGGCUAACUACGUGCCAGCAGCCGCGGUAAUUC
rnacentral:rRNA from 1 species